GACGAACGCUGGCGGCGUGCCUAAUACAUGCAAGUCGAGCGGAAGUUGGAGAGCUUGCUCUUCAACUUUAGCGGCGGACGGGUGAGUAACACGUGGGCAACCUGCCCUGCAGAUCGGGAUAACUCCGGGAAACCGGUGCUAAUACCGAAUAGUUUUCGCCACCUCCUGGUGGCGUACGGAAAGACGGUUUCGGCUGUCACUGCAGGAUGGGCCCGCGGCGCAUUAGCUAGUUGGUGGGGUAACGGCCCACCAAGGCAACGAUGCGUAGCCGACCUGAGAGUGUGAUCGGCCACACUGGGACUGAGACACGGCCCAGACGCCGACGGGAGGCAGCAGUAGGGAAUCUUCCGCAAUGGACGAAAGUCUGAUGGAGCAACGCCGCGUGAGUGACGAAGGUUUUCGGAUCGUAAAACUCUGUUGUGAGGGAAGAACAAGUACCAACUAACUACUGGUACCUUGACGGUACCUCACCAGAAAGCCACGGCUAACUACGUGCCAGCCGCCGCUGUAAAAC
rnacentral:rRNA from 1 species